GACAGAGGGUGCAAACGUUGCUCGGAAUUACUGGGCGUAAAGCGCAUGUAGGCGGUUUCGCAAGUCGGGUGUGAAAGCCCAGGGCUCAACCCUGGAAGUGCACUCGAUACUACGGAGCUGGAGUCUUGAAGAGGAGAGCGGAAUUCCCGGUGUAGAGGUGAAAUUCGUAGAUAUCGGGAGGAACACCAGUGGCGAAGGCGGCUCUCUGGGCAAUGACUGACGCUGAGAUGCGAAAGCGUGGGUAGCAAACAGG
rnacentral:rRNA from 1 species